rnacentral:rRNA from 1 species
ACGGGAGGCAGCAGUGGGGAAUAUUGGGCAAUGGGCGAAAGCCUGACCCAGCGACGCCGCGUGAAGGAAGAAGGCCCUCGGGUUGUAAACUUCAGUCAACAGGGAAGAAACAAAUGACGGUACCUGUGGAGGAAGCCACGGCUAACUACGUGCCAGCAGCCGCGGUAAUACGUAGGUGGCGAGCGUUAUCCGGAUUUAUUGGGUUUAAAGGGUGCGCAGGCGGCCUGCUAAGUCUCCGGUGAAAUGUCAGGGCUCAACCUUGGCACUGCCGGAGAUACUGGCGGGCUUGAGAGUGGCGGACGUCGCCGGAAUGUGUGGUGUAGCGGUGAAAUGCUUAGAUAUCACACAGAACACCGAUUGCGAAGGCAGGCGACGAUACCAUGUCUGACGCUCAGGCACGAAAGCGUGGGGAUCGAACAGGAUUAGAUACCCUGGUA